CAGUUAUAGUUUAUUUGAUAGUACCUUUACUUGGAUAACUGUGGUAAUUCUAGAGCUAAUACAUGCUAAAAACCUCGACUUCGGAAGGGGUGUAUUUAUUAGAUAAAAAACCAAUGCCCUUCGGGGCUCCUUGGUGAUUCAUGAUAACUUAACGAAUCGCAUGGCCUUGCGCCGGCGAUGGUUCAUUCAAAUUUCUGCCCUAUCAACUUUCGAUGGUAGGAUAGUGGCCUACCAUGGUUUUAACGGGUAACGGGGAAUUAGGGUUCUAUUCCGGAGAGGGAGCCUGAGAAACGGCUACCACAUCCAAGGAAGGCAGCAGGCGCGCAAAUUACCCAAUCCCGACACGGGGAGGUAGUGACAAUAAAUACUGAUGGUGGGUUCUUUUGGAUCUACCAAUUGGAAUGAGUACAAUUUAAAUCCCUUAACGAGGAACAAUUGGAGGGCAAGUCUGGUGCCAGCAGCCGCGGUAAUUCCAGCUCCAAUAGCGUAUAUUAAAGUUGUUGCAGUUAAAAAGCUCGUAGUUGAACUUUGGGUCUGGCUGAUCUGUCCUCCUAAUCGAGCGCACGGAUUCGGUCGGACCUUUCCUUCUGGGGAACCCGAUGCCCUUCACUGGGCGUCGUGGGGAACCAGGACUUUUACCUUGAAAAAAUUAGAGUGUUCAAAGCAGGCCUUUGCUCGAAUACAUUAGCAUGGAAUAAUAGAAUAGGACAUCGGUUCUAUUUUGUUGGUUUCUAGGACCGCCGUA
rnacentral:rRNA from 1 species